UACAGAGGUCCCAAGCGUUGUUCGGAUUCACUGGGCGUAAAGGGUGCGUAGGUGGUAAGGCAAGUCAGGUGUGAAAUCUCCGGGCUCAACCCGGAAAUGGCAUUCGGAAACUACCUUGCUGAGAGGUUUGAGGGGGGAUGAUGAUACUUGGUGUAGCAGUGAAAUGCGUAGAUAUCAAGUGGAACACCAGUGGCGAAGGCGACGUGAACCUCGAACUCGACACUGAGGCACGAAAGCUAGGGGAGCAAACAGG
rnacentral:rRNA from 1 species